AGAAUCGGGAGAGUUCCCGGUGGGCCGCUUCAUUUCUGGGCCGGUCGAGAAUUUUAUUUGUUGACAUUUGUCACGUUAGUCCAUCUUCUCUUAAAGUGGGCUACACACGUUCAGCAUUCUGACACCGCAGCCUCUGCAUGGGUUGUACCAUGCGAGGAACUUCACCCCUCCCAAAUAAUAGAGUUGGUUCAGUCCAUUAUGGAACUCAACCAACUCAAUUUGGGAGAGGAGAACUUCACCCCUCCAAAAUAGAGUUGGUUCGGUCCUUAGCCGUCUUUUCCAAAAGUUUUCUCAGCUACGGAUAGCUGGGCCGGCCCGACCGCAACGAUCGCGUCAGGGAGGAUGGACGGGAGGAAGAGGGCCAGGUUGAAAAAAAGAAAGGCAUUGGAGGAGUAUGCUGCCAAAUGUGCCAAGCUUACAGAUUUAUUUUCAAGAGGACAAACACAAGUGGCAACUGCUUCGGAGCAGCAGAUAAGACAGUCUCCUGCUGAAAAUGAUGAGCCCGACAUUUGCAAUGAGGCCAUGACGACAGGGACAGGUAGAGAGGAUAACAGUGGACACUAUAUGAAUUAAAGUUAUAUAUUCUAAGAAAGAGCAGUACAGUACUUGAUGAACCAAUAUGCUUUUUUUACUCAGAAGUGGGUGUAGUAAAGGAGUAAGUCACCACUAUAUAAUACUCAUGCAGAAAAAUGACAAUGACCAUGACAAUGACCAUGACAAUGACGGCUCCCAUGAGGUCUCACUCCAACAAAUCUGGCCUACUGCCUAAUCUGAGUCUGACACCCCUGCUACGCCCUUCUGCCUUUUUUAAUGUUGUGCAUAUUUUUUGUUAACUUCUCAUCUUAAGUGGAUUAUUAUUGUUGUAUUUAACCGUUACAUUAUUUGUUGGACCAUGGUAUUAAUAAAAGAACUACAGGAUAGUAAGAGCUGAA